UACAGAGGGUGCAAGCGUUGCUCGGAAUCAUUGGGCGUAAAGGGCAAGUAGGUGGUCUCAUUUGUCUUGUGUGAAAUCCUUGGGCUUAACUCAAGAAGUGCGCAAGAAACGGUGAGACUCGAGUUCUGGAGAGGGUCGUGGAAUUCCCGGUGUAGCGGUGAAAUGCGCAGAUAUCGGGAGGAACACCUAUGGCGAAGGCAGCUCGCUGGGACGUUACUGACGCUGAGACGCGAAAGCGUGGGGAGCAAACAGG
rnacentral:rRNA from 1 species